rnacentral:rRNA from 1 species
UGUACAGGUGGUGCAUGGUUGUCGUCAGCUCGUGUCGUGAGAUGUUGGGUUAAGUCCCGCAACGAGCGCAACCCCUAUUGUUAGUUGCCAUCAUUCAGUUGGGCACUCUAGCGAGACUGCCGGUAAUAAACCGGAGGAAGGUGGGGAUGACGUCAAAUCAUCAUGCCCCUUAUGACCUGGGCUACACACGUGCUACAAUGGUUGGUACAACGAGUUGCGAGUCGGUGACGGCGAGCUAAUCUCUUAAAGCCAAUCUCAGUUCGGAUUGUAGGCUGCAACUCGCCUACAUGAAGUCGGAAUCGCUAGUAAUCGCGGAUCAGCACGCCGCGGUGAAUACGUUCCCGGGCCUU